CGGAGGGAUCAUUACCGAGUUUACAACUCCCAAACCCCUGUGAACAUACCACUUGUUGCCUCGGCGGAUCAGCCCGCUCCCGGUAAAACGGGACGGCCCGCCAGAGGACCCCUAAACUCUGUUUCUAUAUGUAACUUCUGAGUAAAACCAUAAAUAAAUCAAAACUUUCAACAACGGAUCUCUUGGUUCUGGCAUCGAUGAAGAACGCAGCAAAAUGCGAUAAGUAAUGUGAAUUGCAGAAUUCAGUGAAUCAUCGAAUCUUUGAACGCACAUUGCGCCCCGCCAGUAUUCUGGCGGGCAUGCCUGUUCGAGCGUCAUUUCAACCCUCAAGCCCUCGGGUUUGGUGUUGGGGAUCGGCGAGCCCUUGCGGCAAGCCGGCCCCGAAAUCUAGUGGCGGUCUCGCUGCAGCCUCCAUUGCGUAGUAGUAAAACCCUCGCAACUGGAACGCGGCGCGGCCAAGCCGUUAAACCCCCAACUUCUGAAUGUUGACCUCGGAUCAGGUAGGAAUACCCGCUGAACUUAAGCAUAUCAAUAAGCGGAGGAAAAGAAACCAACAGGGAUUGCCCUAGUAACGGCGAGUGAAGCGGCAACAGCUCAAAUUUGAAAUCUGGCUCUCGGGCCCGAGUUGUAAUUUGUAGAGGAUGCUUUUGAUGCGGUGCCUUCCGAGUUCCCUGGAACGGGACGCCAUAGAGGGUGAGAGCCCCGUCUGGUUGGAUGCCAAAUCUCUGUAAAGCUCCUUCAACGAGUCGAGUAGUUUGGGAAUGCUGCUCUAAAUGGGAGGUAUAUGUCUUCUAAAGCUAAAUACCGGCCAGAGACCGAUAGCGCACAAGUAGAGUGAUCGAAAGAUGAAAAGCACUUUGAAAAGAGAGUUAAAAAGUACGUGAAAUUGUUGAAAGGGAAGCGUUUAUGACCAGACUUGGGCUUGGUUAAUCAUCUGGGGUUCUCCCCAGUGCACUUUUCCAGUCCAGGCCAGCAUCAGUUUUCCCCGGGGGAUAAAGGCGGCGGGAAUGUGGCUCUCUUCGGGGAGUGUUAUAGCCCGCCGUGUAAUACCCUGGGGGGGACUGAGGUUCGCGCAUCUGCAAGG
rnacentral:rRNA from 1 species